GAAAAAUAAUAUUUGGUGUAAUCCCGUUUGAAGUGAAACGAAACCUUCACUGUAUUGCUUCCUCGCGUUUUGGAAUUUCAGAGUGGAAUGGCGUAUGAACAUCACAAACCCACGCAACCAUGGAUCCAGGACGUACUACCUGUAUUACUGGUUCUUCUGAUAGCAGCGCAUGUCCUCGCUAUGGUGUAUUGGAUUUAUAAAUUAGCCACCCAGAAACAGACGCAAAGGAGAAAGGCUCACUGAAGGUCAAGGUCCGUCGUUUGUGAACCCUAAUUUACCUCCUACGAAAAACUUAACCGUUGUAGAAUGUCCUUAGUCUUCAUUUUACUGGUCUUUUUUUGACAAUGAUCGCAGCAUUUACCAUUUCACUUAGUGCAAAAUGGAUUAAAUUCAUACGCAGCAUCUUAGUGUCGCUUCCACACUUGUUUAUAUUGUUGGGAUUUUAAUUUAUGAUCUCUUGUAGAGCAUGCUUUUAAUUUAGAUGAUUUAUUGGGAUCUUUUAAUCAAUUUUCUCAGCCGUUCCUGUGUGAUGCAUACCUCUGCAUUCUGAUUUCUCGGAAACAAAUAAAAUCCAGUGUUUUUUUA